rnacentral:rRNA from 1 species
CAGCAGUAGCCGCGGGAAUACGAAGGGGGCUAGCGUUGUUCGGAUUAACUGGGCGUAAAGGGCGCGUAGGCGGCGAUCAAAGUCAGGCGUGAAAUUCCUGGGCUCAACCUGGGGGCUGCGUUUGAUACUUGAUUGCUAGAGUGGGGAAGAGGGUCGUGGAAUUCCCAGUGUAGAGGUGAAAUUCGUAGAUAUUGGGAAGAACACCGGUGGCGAAAGCGGCUCACUGGACCAUAACUGACGCUGAUGCACGAAAGCUAGGGGAGCAAACAGGAUUAGAUACCCCUGUAGUCCCUGUCUCUUAUAA